CCAUUAAUCAAUGCUAAACCUUCUUUAGCCUGAAGGUUCAAAGGUUGUCUAUUUAAUUCUCUUAAUACAUCG
rnacentral:sRNA from 1 species